GAGCAAAACAUCCCACGUGAGUGCUUAAAAUCCCAUGGGUUCAGUGUAGAGACGUUGUCACGGAAUACGUCCUGCUCAGCUGUAGCUUCGAUGAGCUCUGCAGGAAGCUGAGAAGAUGAAGCUGCAGAUGCCUCUCCAGGGUGAGGUGGCGGAGACGUUGGAGUCAACCUGCCUGUCUAUAGAGACAUUCUUUGAAGAUCACCUUGCAACAGACAAUGAAGUCGACUUCAUCAGCGCACCAUUCGUACAACGCAAGGGAGACAAAUUCGAUGGGUUUGACGACAAACAAACUUUCUUCAGACCAUCAUUAAGAUCUUUACUUGUGAGUAUGUAGACAUAAAUUCAUGUCAAUUGCGCAGAUUGAUGCUCAUGCUUUUGAUCACUGGAUUGUCUGGUCCAGACUCGAUUAUUUACAGACC